UAUAUGAAGUCACCUGGCCAAGCUCAGGCAACCAAUAAACAGGAGAGCCCUAGUCCUGACAAGGCAGCCAGCCCCACACCCUGGUUCCUGAUCACCUCCUGACUACAAAUGCCUCCAGGAUCAAAAUAUUUCCUUCUAUUUCAUGCCCAGAAAACAGUCUCCCACCAGGCCUUGCCAAUCGAAGCCUCCACGGGAGCCUGCUAAUUAUAAAUGGUCAACAUCUAUCUCUGUCUGCUAAAAUGGCAUCUCCAGAAAAGGAACCAGGAAUUGUCAUUUUAACCCAUUUCAUCGUGUUCUUCUGAGGAACAUUGCCAUGAACUCAAAGAGCUGUGGUUACCUGCACAAGACCUGCAUGAGAAUGGGCCAACAAUGGAUGAAUGGAGAAUGGAUCAACAAUUCAUCAUGGAAGGGCAAAGGAGUCAUGAUGCCCCACCAUCCCUGAGGGACCACUGACAGUUAAUGGUGACAGGGAAAGAAAUGUCACAUUCUUCAGUGAAAGAGUCACUGAUAAGUUCUCUGUGUCCCAGUAAAUAAGCUCUCAACCAUUCUCAUGACAGCCACUCUAAUGAAACUCAGUGGGUCACACACGAAAGGAAGCAUAUAAGUAAGAAGAGGACUUGGUGCAAAGAAGGGGUUCAGUGGGAGAAUGAGGGAAGACAGAAGGUGACAAUGAGUGAAAAUAGCUAAAAAUCCAUUAUAUGUUGCAGGAGACUAUCCAAGAUUAAGAAAUGAGAAGGCAAGCCGGGCAGUGGUGGUGCACGCCUUUAGUCCCAGCACUUGGGAGGCAGAGGCAGGUGGAUUCUGAGUUCGAGGGCUAUACAAAGAAACCCUGUCUCAAAAAAAGAAAGAAAGAAAGAAAGAAAGAAAGAAAGAAAGAAAGAAAGAAAGAAAGAAAGAAAGAAAGAAAGAAAGAAAGAAAGAAAGAAAGAAAGAAAGAAAGGGAAAGAAAAGAAAAGAAAAAGGAAAAAGAAAAAGAAAAAGAAAUGAGAAGGCAUGAAUGUGUGCAUGCAUACACACUCAUAUGGAGAAGAAUGAAGGCAAGGAAACUGUCAACAUACACUUGCCCAAAAGCAAGAAUAUCUACACACAUGUACAUAAAAUAUGCUUGAAGGGUGCCUGGAGAGAGGCAAGAAAAGUAUGUUUUACUACAUGCAAUUUAUACUGACAGAUUAAUAUGCAUAUAUUAAUCAUUUUCUUAAAACUGGUCAAUAUUUUAGACAUGUUGAUGUACAACUGAAUAAAAGGGAAAUUCAUCUAAAUGUCAUUGCAGGCUGAGUGGUAGUGCAGGGUGCUGGGUGAUAAGCCCAGGACUCUGGAGGCACAGGCAGGUGGAUCUCUGUGAGUUUGAAGCCAGCCUGGUCUACAGUACUAGUUCUACACAGGGUACACAAAGCACCCUGUCUCAGGAAAAGAAAACAAAACAUGUUAUUGCAAAGGAUCAGUUCCCUCCUCAGAUGGAAAGUGAUCCAUCUCUAGAGUGUCCAAAUGAAAGCUUGAAAGCCGAUUGGCUGCCAGGCCAGAUGAUGUAGACGCAUAAAGAGAUGGGUCUGCAACACUGAUAUUAGGAGCACUAGAUGACUUUCUGAGUGUUUAAGGCCAAAGGUUCAGACCCUAGCCACAAAAUGAAGAAAUUGCCAUCGGACCUUCUGUGUUCCAAUCAAUCAAGAGGCUCUCAGAGGCUAUGCAAGUACCAGUGAGAUGAACUUGUAGCAAGUUCAAUAGAACAAGUAACUAAACCCACAAUCUCAUUAAAAUCUCUCCACCCAUUUUGAAAGUUCACGAAUGUACAAUGAGUUCACAUGCGUACAAGAAUUAUUAACCUUUUGACACUUUAGCAAAGAUAGCUAAAAGGAGAAAAGUUUUGUUCUUUCUUACAGUUUCAGACCAUAAUCACCUGGCUUCACUGUUUCUGGGUACAUAAUGUGGUGGGAAGCAAAUGGUUGAGCAGGUCAGCUCACCUUUGGCAGACAGGGCACAAAGAGGCAGAGGAGCAAGGGCUCAAGACAAGCCCUCUGGGACCUCCUUCCUCCAACCAUGCCCACCUGCAGACUUCCCAGCUGUGAUUACAUCAGUGUAAUGACCCACCCAUAACAUUAAAGCCAUCGUGAUCCAGUCUUCUCUGACUCUCUUAGGUUGGGGACCAUGCUUUCAACUCAUAAAUCUGUCAGGGAUGUUUCACAUCCAAACCAUAGUGGAAAUUAAAAUUGUUAUACACCCAAAACUCAAAAGUGUUAUUUUUCAACAGAGGUGGCCAGGAUUUAUGGAAAAUGAUUUCAUUUCAGAGGAUUCUUUUUCCUGUUAAAAUUAGGUUAUACUUUAUUGUCUUCCCUUAGCCCAAGGAGCAAGUCUUCCCCUCCUUCCAGCUCUUGCAAGGUAGUGUUGCCUUCAUAGUAUGAUCUAGUACCUUCCUUAGGAAAUUUCCUUUGAGGUCCACAAUGUCAGAAAACCCACUGGUGAGUGUGAUACGUGGCAUCACACUUUGCCACCAGGAGGCCAAAUAAAGACAGGAGCAUUAAUCAAAUUUGGAAAUAAUUUGAAAAACAAAAACCCACUGAGCUCCAAAUAGAUCAGUGCAUGAAUAAUUAGCAGCCCACAGUAUCAGAUAUUAGAAAGUGAAAACAGGAAACUCUCGUGCCCCAGCUAUGUACCUACUAGACUGAAGUGCCAACUUCCAAGGUUGAGAGCACAACGUGACCUUCAAAUGGGUGUCAAUGUCACUGGCUUACUCAUAUUUGCAGUUUUCCAUCUAUCACGAACAGGAAUUUUUCAAAGAACUAUAAAUGUAUCAAUUUGGUAUAGUCCCUAGGGGCUGAAGGGAGGAGAGGGCAGGGGGAGAGGGAGGCGCUGGGUGGUUCCCAUGCAGGCUAGAGUUCUUGGUCUUGUCCAUGGCUGGAGCGCAGGAAGGCCUUCUGGCAGGAGGUUAGUCAUGACUCAU